rnacentral:rRNA from 1 species
AUUGAACGCUAACGGCGUGCUUAACACAUGCAAGUCGAGCGGCAGCACAAUAGUAGCAAUACUAUGGGUGGCGAGCGGCGGACGGGUGAGUAAUGCAUAGGAAUCUGCCUUGUAGUGGGGGAUAACCCGGGGAAACUCGGGCUAAUACCGCAUAGUCUCUACGGAGCAAAGUGGGGGACCGUAAGGCCGCACGCUAAAAGAUGAGCCUAUGUUGGAUUAGCUAGUUGGUAGGGUAAAGGCCUACCAAGGCAACGAUCCAUAGCUGGUCUGAGAGGAUGAUCAGCCACACUGGGACUGAGACACGGCCCAGACUCCUACGGGAGGCAGCAGUGGGGAAUAUUGGACAAUGGGCGAAAGCCUGAUCCAGCAACGCCGUGUGUGUGAAGAAGGCCUUCGGGUUGUAAAGCACUUUUAGUUGGGAAGAAAAGCUCAAGGCUAAUAUUCUUGAGUGAUGACGUUACCAACAGAAAAAGCACUGGCUAACUCUGUGCCAGCAGCCGCAGUAAAAC